rnacentral:rRNA from 1 species
AUUGAACGCUGGCGGCAGGCUUAACACAUGCAAGUCGAACGAGUGGCGGACGGGUGAGUAAUGCUUGGGAAUCUGGCUUAUGGAGGGGGAUAACGAAGGGAAACUGUCGCUAAUAUCGUGUCCCAUAGGCUGAGCCCAGGUGGGAUUAGGUAGGUGGUGGGGUAAUGGCCUACCAGACCGAAGAUGUCAAGCUUGUCUGAGAGGAUGACCAGGAAGCACGGGACGGAGACACGGCCCAGACUCAUACGGGAGGUAGCAGUGGGGAAGUUUGCGCAAUGGGGGCCACCUAACGCGGCCAUGCCGCGUGGAUGAAGAAGGCCUUCGGGUUGUAGAGGUCUUUCGGUGACGGGGCGUUAAUCACAGAAGAAGCACCGGCUAACUCCGUGCCAGCAGCCGCGGUAAUAC